AGUGUCAACCCUAGGAUGAGGUCUAGGAAGGAAAAGCCCGGAGCGCCGCCAUCAUGGAUUGAGCCAACAGAAGCGGCAAGAGAUAUCGAUACCGAUCGAUCUGGCAGCCUUGACGCCAAGGAGCUGAAUGUCGCCAUGAGGUACUAAUAUCACGUGGCUUAACUGGGCCCUGGGGUUUGAAGUGACAGAAGACGUUGACUACGGAUAUUAAUUGUUUGAUGGCUGAAAUAGGCAAUGAUAAGAGUGGGGCAAUUAAUUUUGUUGAAUUUCUGUACAUGAUGAAGGCCAAGAUUGGAGAAAGGGACAGCAAAAUACUUACGAGGGCUUUUCGCAUUAUUGACCAGGAUGGUAAUGUGAUGAAGAUGUUGAUGCUGAGGAAUUCAUGAGGAUUAUGAGGAGCUGUGGGCAUUAGAAUUUAUCCUGUUGUAAAGUUUUUGAAUCCCCCCUUAUGAUCAUCUGAGUGAUUCAGUCCUUAGUGAAGCUUUCCAGAAUG